rnacentral:tRNA from 1 species
CGGGGUAGUGCCGGGAGGUUAGGUGUCUUGUUUGGGUCGAGAAGUUUCUCAGUUCGAAUCUGAGUGCCCCGA